rnacentral:rRNA from 1 species
GGGGAAUAUUGCACAAUGGGGGAAACCCUGAUGCAGCAACGCCGCGUGAGUGAAGAAGUAUUUCGGUAUGUAAAGCUCUAUCAGCAGGAAAGAAAAUGACGGUACCUGACUAAGAAGCCCCGGCUAACUACGUGCCAGCAGCCGCGGUAAAACGUAGGUCACAAGCGUUGUCCGGAAUUACUGGGUGUAAAGGGAGCGCAGGCGGGCGAUCAAGUUGGAAGUGAAAUCCAUGGGCUCAACCCAUGAACUGCUUUCAAAACUGGUCGUCUUGAGUAGUGCAGAGGUAGGCGGAAUUCCCGGUGUAGCGGUGGAAUGCGUAGAUAUCGGGAGGAACACCAGUGGCGAAGGCGGCCUACUGGGCACCAACUGACGCUGAGGCUCGAAAGUGUGGGUAGCAAACAGGAUUAGAUACCCUGGUAGUCCACACCGUAAACGAUGAUUACUAGGUGUUGGGAGAUUGACCCUCUCAGUGCCGCAGUUAACACAAUAAGUAAUCCACCUGGGGAGUACGACCGCAAGGUUGAAACUCAAAGGAAUUGACGGGGGCCCGCACAAGCAGUGGAGUAUGUGGUUUAAUUCGACGCAACGCGAAGAACCUUACCAAGUCUUGACAUCCCUUGACGAUGCUGGAAACAGUAUUUCUCUUCGGAGCAAGGAGACAGGUGGUGCAUGGUUGUCGUCAGCUCGUGUCGUGAGAUGUUGGGUUAAGUCCCGCAACGAGCGCAACCCUUAUCUUUAGUAGCCAGCAGUAAGAUGGGCACUCUAGAGAGACUGCCGGGGAUAACCCGGAGGAAGGUGGGGAUGACGUCAAAUCAUCAUGCCCCUUAUGACCAGGGCUACACACGUGCUACAAUGGCGUAAACAAAGAGAAGGGAAGUCGUGAGGCAGAGCGAAUCUCAAAAAUAACGUCUCAGUUCGGAUUGUAGUCUGCAACUCGACUACAUGAAGCUGGAAUCGCUAGUAAUCGCAGAUCAGAAUGCUGCGGUGAAUACGUUCCCG